ACACGACUACAUUAGAUACCCGCGUAGUCCUAGCCGUAAACGAUACUCGCUAGGUGUCGGCCACGGUGCGACCGUUGUCGGUGCCGUAGGGAAGCCGUGAAGCGAGCCACCUGGGAAGUACGGCCGCAAGGCUGAAACUUAAAGGAAUUGGCGGGGGAGCACAACAACGGGUGGAGCUUGCGGUUUAAUUGGAUUCAACGCCGGAAAUCUUACCGGGACCGACAGCAACAUGAAGGCCGAGCUGAAGACUUUGCCGGAUUAGCUG
rnacentral:rRNA from 1 species